UAGGGAAUCUUCGGCAAUGGACGAAAGUCUGACCGAGCAACGCCGCGCGAGUGAAGAAGGUUUUCGGAUCGUAAAACUCUGUUGUUAGAGAAGAACAAGGACGUUAGUAACUGAACGUCCCCUGACGGUAUCUAACCAGAAAGCGACGGCUAACUACGUGCCAGCAGCCGCGGUAAUACGUAGGUGGCAAGCGUUGUCCGGAUUUAUUGGGCGUAAAGCGAGCGCAGGCGGUUUCUUAAGUCUGAUGUGAAAGCCCCCGGCUCAACCGGGGAGGGUCAUGGGAAACUGGGGGACUUGAGUGCAGAAGGGGAGAGGGGAAUUCCAUGUGUAGCGGUGAAAUGCGUAGAUAUAUAGCGGAACACAAGUGGCGAAGGCGGCUCUCUGGUCUGUAACGGACGCUGAGGCUCGAAAGCGUGGGGAGCAAACAGG
rnacentral:rRNA from 1 species